rnacentral:misc_RNA from 1 species
GAUGAAGAACGCAGCGAAAUGCGAUAAGUAGUGUGAAUUGCAGAAUUCAGUGAAUCAUCGAAUCUUUGAACGCACAUUGCGCCCUUUGGUAUUCCUUAGGGCAUGCCUGUUCGAGCGUCAUUUAAACCUUCAAGCUAAGCUUGGUGUUGGGUGACUGUCCGCUUCACGGCGGACUCGCCUCAAAAUUAUUGGCGGCCGGUACAUUGGCUUCGAGCGCGGCAGAAACGCGAACUCGGGCCCGUCGUAUUGGCUCCCAGAAGCUAUCUUCACAAUUUUGACCUCGGAUCAGGUAGGGAUACCCGCUGAACUUAAGCAUAUCAAUAAGCGGAGGA